AUCACAGUGUCUCAGUGCCCCAUGUCUCCCAGUGUCCUCUCAUGUCUCAAAGUUACCCAGUGUCCCCAUGUCUCCCAGUUUCCCCACGAGUCUCAGUGUCCCCAGGUCUCUCAGUGUCCCAAUGUCCCCUAGUGUCCUAGUGACAUAGGGACACUGGGAGACAUGGGGACACAGACACUAAGGGACUGGGAGACAUGGGGACACAGACAUGCCCCCUUUUUGUGUAUGUUUGCCUCUUUCGGCAGUUCUGGUUAUGUGAUUUGUGUCAGUGGUCCACCCUUUUGCCCCGUCCAUAGACUUCCUGCUUUACUGGACACUGCUGUUAGGGGGUAUGGGUUUACUUGAAAGAUGAAAGCGUUGGUAUGUGUUUUCUCAUAGCUGCAUCCUAUGAGUUUCCCUCCAGCACCAUCUCCAU